UUUCUAUUUAAUAUGUAUUCUUGUUUCUAUUCGACGUGCAUUCUAAAUAAUAUAAUAAUAUUUAGAUAUUUAUUUAAAAUGUAAUUUUAAUAUUAAAAAAAUAUUUAGUAUUCUCUAAUAGAAUUAUUUUUAGUUUUAAAUUUAUUUUAAUUGAAUAUAAAUAUAUUUAAUUUUUUAUUCAUUCUAAAUAAAAACAUAUAAGAUAAUAUUAUUUUUAUUAAUAUUUAUAAUAAUUAAAAAAUAUAAUAUUUUUAUUGAUAGUUUCGAUACAUGAUUACUAUUUUUUUUUUGGAAAAUUAAGAUGCUUUCCUCAACUCAAGUUACAGUUUGGACAAUGAUUGAAAACAAGAUUGCUUGUAGGGUUAAUAUGGAGAUAAGAGGUAUCGGGGUCGAGAGUAAUUUGUGUUGCUUGUGUAGGAGGUUAAAGGAGUCAACAAAUCAUUUGUUCUGCGAAUGCAUAGUUGCUUGGCUAAUUUGGUUAGCGAGAUAUGGAGGUAAAAGAAUAACUGUUUAUUUAAAGGUGGAGUGGUUGAUCAUGCUGAAGUUUUCUAUCUGACAAAGGUUAAAGUUUGGUCCUGGAUUGGUAUUUAAAACCCUUAAUAUGUAUGCAUUCAAUUUAGUAUUUUUAUAAGAGUUGAUCCUUGUUAUUCUUUUUUAUUAUUGGUGGAGAUGUGAUAGACAAUAGGAGGUCUUUUUAGUUGAUAUGUAGAUGGAAAUGUACACUUUGAAUAUCAUUAUAUUGUAUAAGGAUUGAACCACCUCUGAACUAGACCCAUUUAAUUUUAUUGCUAUUUGCUGAAGAAGAAAAAAAAUCUCCUUAAAUUUUAUAUAGGAUGCUUUUAUGGCUCCCCUUUUGAAUAGAGUACUUUCAAAUUGUGUUAGCAUAAGACAUGAUCUCAUGCUCUAAAAUCUGAUACAAAAUGUCAUUUCAACAUGCACCAGUGGAGAUAAAGGUGUUUGUGAUUCGGUUUAAAUUAGUUUUUAAAUUAAAAAAAUUCUCGUUAAUCCAAAUUACUAAUAACA
rnacentral:lncRNA from 1 species